rnacentral:rRNA from 1 species
AUUGAACGCUGGCGGCAUGCCUUACACAUGCAAGUCGAACGGUAACAGGUUAAGCUGACGAGUGGCGAACGGGUGAGUAAUACAUCGGAACGUGCCCAGUAGCGGGGGAUAGCGCGGCGAAAGCCGGAUUAAUACCGCAUACGACCUAAGGGUGAAAGGGGGGGAUCGCAAGACCUCUCGCUAUUGGAGCGGCCGAUGUCAGAUUAGCUAGUUGGUGGGGUAAAAGCUCACCAAGGCGACGAUCUGUAGCUGGUCUGAGAGGACGACCAGCCACACUGGGACUGAGACACGGCCCAGACUCCUACGGGAGGCAGCAGUGGGGAAUUUUGGACAAUGGGCGCAAGCCUGAUCCAGCCAUGCCGCGUGCGUGAAGAAGGCCUUCGGGUUGUAAACCGCUUUUGUCAGGGAAGAAAUCCUUUGGGUUAAUACCUCGGGGGGAUGACGGUACCUGAAGAAUAAGCACCGGCUAACUACGUG